CAUCGCGUGACCGAGUGGCGAGGUAAGGGCCUGCAAAACCCUUUACGGCAGUUCGAAUCUGCCCGCGAUAU
rnacentral:tRNA from 1 species